AGGGGAUAUGAUAACAUUAUACAAAUAUAUUUGGGGCCAAUACAAACCAUUAUGUGGAAAUUUAUUCACAAACCAGACUUUACAUAGGACACAAGGUCAUGCGUUUAGACUUGAAGAAAGAAGAUUUCAUCUAAGGCAAAGGAAAGGUUUGUUUACUGUAAGAACAAUAAGGAUGUGAAAUUCUCUGCCUGAAGAAGUGGUUUUAUCAGAGUCCAUACAGAUGUUCAAACAGCUACUAGAUGCAUACUUGCAAAAACAGAAUAUUCAAGGAUAUAAUCUUUCAAUGUAGGGUAAUAACUGCUUGAUCCAAGGAUAAAUCUGACUGCCAUUCUGGGGUCAAGAAGGAAUUUUCUUCCUAGCUUGUUGCAAAAUUGGAAGUGCUUCAUACUGGUUUUUUUUGCCUUCUUUUGGAUCAACAGCAAAAAACAAAUGUGAGGAAGGCUGAACUUGAUUGACGCAAGUCUCUUUUCAGCUCUGUAACUAUGUAACUAUUUAACUUUACACAGCCCUUAAAGAAUGGCUCUGAACUGUAUCGGCAUUUCAUCAACCUUUGGGAUAACUGGAAAUAGUGGUGUAAUCUUUACUGGAACGGUGUAGUAUCCAGAAGAACCAGGAAUCAGAAGGUGAGAUAAUGAAAAACACUUUUAUUUCUUUUAGUGUCUAAAAUGUAAGCAUAAUGCGUAUCGACCUAGUACAGGUCUUCCUCGGGUGAAAUCUAAAAUAACAGUGAUUCAAGGGCUAUUUUAUACCCAAAAACAAACACACAUAAUUACAUACACAUGAAAUAAUUACUUCUAAUUUCCAAAUAUGGUCCGAACCGCAUGUAUAUCGCCACCACGAAGAUGGCGACAUCCAUUUUCAGCCAUAAAGUAAGUUCCGGUUGCCACCCCCAAGAUGGCCACACGUCGGACUCAAAGACUCUGCUCAAAAUGAUUGAAUGUUCUCCAUAUUAGUCAACAAUGCAAUAGGCUAUCUGGAAUAUCCUCCAGUUCUGCUUGCCACUCCUCUCAAUAUGCUGUGACGUGCGCAUCUAUUACCAUGUACGUCCGGCACAAAAAACUACAAACAUGGCGGAUGGUUAUGUUCACAAAGAUGUCACUUCCUCCAGAUGUACGUCCAGAUAGCAGAAUGAGUAUAUAUGUCCAUAAUAAAGGAAGGAAUAAAUAAGUAUAAUAGUUGAGGAGAAAAUAAAGGAAACAGUACAAAAUGGAAUUAAUUUCAAAAUCUUUAUUCAGA